rnacentral:rRNA from 1 species
GAUGAACGCUGGCGGCGUGCCUAAUACAUGCAAGUCGAGCGAACAGACGAGAGUGCUUGCACUCUCUGACGUUAGCGGCGGACGGGUGAGUAACACGUGGGUAACCUACCUAUAAGACUGGGAUAACUUCGGGAAACCGGAGCUAAUACCGGAUAAUAUUUAGCUUCGCAUGAAGCAAUAGUGAAAGACGGUUCUGCUGUCACUUAUAGAUGGACCCGCGGUGUAUUAGCUAGUUGGUGAGGUAACGGCUCACCAAGGCAACGAUACAUAGCCGACCUGAGAGGGUGAUCGGCCACACUGGGACUGAGACACGGCCCAGACUCCUACGGGAGGCAGCAGUAGGGAAUCUUCCGCAAUGGACGAAAGUCUGACGGAGCAAUGCCGCGUGAGUGAAGAAGGUUUUCGGAUCGUAAAACUCUGUUGUAAGGGAAGAACAAGUACGUUAGUAACUGAACGUACCUUGACGGUACCUUACCAGAAAGCCGCGGCUAACUACGUG